UUUUGGAUGGAUUUUCUCUUCUUGGUCACACGCUCAUUUAAAAUCAUCUUUUAGUACCAUUCUCACCUACGAGAAGAUUCUGUCACAAGCGAUGGCAGCCGAUUUUAAUUACAGACAGAGAAUUUCAGAGCUGCUACAUUCCUCCAUAACAGGAACAAUGAGGAGUGAUCAAGGUAAUUACUGCCUUUCCUCUCUCUUUAUUAUAGUGAUUUUUUCUAAGCCAAUCAAAGCCUGCCAGUCUUUUCAUAGGAGUUCAGAAACGUUUGCAUCGUCUUUGUGACCAUUGAGUCCAGUAAUAAUGUUUGCAUGGUAUAAGUGCUGCCUUAUUAGUGAAGGUUAGUAAAGUGUCUAUUGUUGACUCUUAAAUGGCGGCCCAGAAAUAGAAAGAGAAUCUGAUAAGCCAGACUGAGGCAUCUCACAUGCAUCUCACAUGUCAAAGCCUCGCUAUUUGAGCUGGUCAAAGCCUCGCUAUUUGAGCUGUCGAGCUCUGACAGAAGGUGUUUUUCACCCUUAAAUGGUUUGAUUCAUGAGAAGUCUUGAGAGGCGGCAGAUCAGACGAUGGUCUGUGGCAUUUCCUUUGUGUGGCUGAAUGACUUUUUGAAGAUUUAUGGCCAUGAGGAGCUACAGGAAAACAUUGAGGGCGCAAGAAGGGAGAUAAAUGGAGAGACAUUAACUGCGACAAUAAAAGCUCCUGAGGGAGCCAUGCCUUCUGCUUUACUCCACAAGAGUGAUGCCUGCUGUGAGCUGAGCCCAUCUGCUUGGAUGACUCUUGAAUGAGUGAACUCUUCUCUAUCGCACUCAAACACUCACAUCAGACUCUCUUCAUCAUGGUCAGAUUAUGAUCCAAACCCCAGCUUCAAUGUUUCCCAGUGCCAGGAUUCAUACAAAACUGGGCUUCCCAUCCCACUUUUAAAGCACACAGAUGGGCUUAUUUGAUUCUCCAGCAGGAAAAGAGUGCGCUAGAGCAAUAAUUAGUGCGUUUUCAAGCCAAGCGUGUGUGAAAAGUGAAGGCAAGGGAAGAAGCUGUCAUCCAAAAUUGGUGCGACAUUAAAAACAGCUUCGGGAAAGGUGAUAAAGUGCGCGAGAGGUUAAUGGAGAAAUGUCACAACCUCUCCAUGGAUCAAAAAAACUACUUCAAACUUGCCGUCUGGUCUGAACUUUGGCUGCAAGGAUGUUUAAUGGCUUUGUAGCUGAAGCAGAUGCUUUUUUUUUUUCGCUUUAGAUACAGCACUAAAGCUCUGCUCUCGUCACUCAAGAUGGCUGGUUUUUAUGUGGGUCUGAAGAAGAGACUCAAACGUGUGUAAAAGCUGAGGACACGGUGACUCACACCCUGACCAGACCCUGGAUGAGGGCAUCUGGAUUAGACUCGCACUGUGAAAUGGAAUUUUAGAGCUCAGAGAGAAGGGACAGCCAUAAUUUCCUGAGCUAAAUCUCAUCUUUCUUUCAAAAAACAAGCCCAAUAUCUGAUCCAUAGGAGGAGAGGGUUAAAAGCCACCAGGGAUAAAAAUCCUGCUGGCACUGGCAGUACUUUCCUAAUAACAUAUAUAUUGCUAUUUGAUGUGAAAUGUUCCAGAUACAUGCAGGGCUUUGAAUGAAAGGCUUAAAUUAUAGAUAUUUUGAAAUGCUGCGAGUUUAUGUAACUAUUUGGUCAUUUGUUUGUUAUUUUAUAAAUAAGUACUUUACAAGUAUGUGAAUGCUAUUACAUUAAAG